rnacentral:lncRNA from 1 species
AUAACCAAAGAACACCAACGCUCCUAUCAGAUAUCACUCUAGGCUUUUCAACCCAAAAAAGCAAUACUCGAUAGCUAGUUCGUCCGGACAAGGACUAAUAUCAUAUGGAACCCGUACUUUAAAAACACUCUUUAUAUAUCAUUCAAAUGCAUCUUACAAAAUUUGUUAUAAAUUAACCUCGAGGUUUUCGGUCAAUAAAUCUUAUAAAUAAGAAAUAUCAAAGCGCCUUUGUAAGGAUAAUAAAACUACCGAUGGCUAAUGAUGUUCCUUCCCCUCCUAGAGUUAGGUCUCCCACCUAUUGGUUACCUGCAUCACAAAUGAGUCAUGAG